GAUUGGGGUCGGAGAGCCUGACCCGGCUAAUAAAACAAAGCUCGAUAGAU
rnacentral:ncRNA from 1 species